GACGAACGCUGGCGGCGUGCUUAACACAUGCAAGUCGAGCGGUAAGGCCCUUCGGGGUACCCGAGCGGCGAACGGGUGAGUAACACGUGAGUAAUCUGCCCAUCACUUCGGGAUAACUCCGGGAAACCGGUGCUAAUACCGAAUAUGACCACUUCAGGCAUCUGAUGGUGGUGGAAAGUUCCGGCGGUGAUGGAUGAGCUCGCGGCCUAUCAGCUUGUUGGUGGGGUAGUGGCCUACCAAGGCUUCGACGGGUAGCCGGCCUGAGAGGGUGACCGGCCACACUGGGACUGAGGCACGGCCCAGACUCCUACGGGAGGCAGCAGUGGGGAAUAUUGGACAAUGGGCGAAAGCCUGAUCCAGCAACGCCGCGUGAGGGAUGACGGCCUUCGGGUUGUAAACCUCUUUCAGCAGGGACGAAGCGCAAGUGACGGUACCUGCAGAAGAAGCACCGGCCAACUACGUG
rnacentral:rRNA from 1 species